AAUGUCAUUGUUUUUAUGCACACUAUAAGAAAAACCAUAUUGAAUAUUAAUACAUAAUAUCAUGUAUUAAUAUUUUGGAAAUAAAUCUUAUUUUAACUUAAUUUACAAAGCAAAAUAUAUUUACAUUACAUGUGUACAUUAUGUGUGUCAAAUUAAUCCUCAGAGGAUAGUAAAUCCCAAGUAAGUUAUAAAAAGCAAAGUUCCAAGAACCUAUGUCUAUUUGUAUGAUGGGAAUCGCAAUGAAUAAUAUACGAUAGAAAUGGUCAAGACUUUCGUUACCAUCGCUUUACAGCCACUCCACAGACUACAAAACUGUGUGGACAUCACUAUAAGUACCGAUUUUAAAGCUUAACUGCUUAAGGAGGAAAUAGAUAAGCCACGUUUCGAGUUUUGGUCAUUUUCAAUGUUUAAUUGGUUUGGUAGAUAGUUCAAGAUUACUGAUUCGAAUAACUUAUUUGUUGGAUUGCGUAGUAUUAAAUAUAAACAAGUAUGAAAAUCAAGCUUGAAUAAAGUACUUUGAUUCGUGGUCUUGCAUCUGAUAAACGUAAUUUAUAAGCGUACAAUAAAUAAGUAGAGAAAAAGUUUCGAAAAGAAAUUGUCAAGGGAUCUAUGCAAACAUUUAGACGUUUCAACCGCCAUUCCAGAAUGGUAAUUUAUAAAUAUAGGUACUGUACAAUACUGGAGAAGUAUACACUUUCAAUACAAUGAUGUGACAAACUAUCGUAUGAAAGUUAAAUAUAAUACAUAAAAUACUGUUUGAAUACGAAAAUAAAAAAAUUAUCAGUAAGUACAAUCUCUAUAAUGUAAUGGCUUGUGUGAAUUGUAGAGUGUAAUAAAAUAACAUUAAUA